ACUGAACGCUGGCGGCAGGCCUAACACAUGCAAGUCGAACGGUAGCACAGAGAGCUUGCUCUCGGGUGACGAGUGGCGGACGGGUGAGUAACGUCUGGGAAACUGCCCGAUGGAGGGGGAUAACUACUGGAAACGGUAGCUAAUACCGCAUAACGUCGCAAGACCAAAGUGGGGGACCUUCGGGCCUCACACCAUCGGAUGUGCCCAGAUGGGAUUAGCUAGUAGGUGGGGUAAUGGCUCACCUAGGCGACGAUCCCUAGCUGGUCUGAGAGGAUGACCGGCCACACUGGAACUGAGACACGGUCCAGACUCCUACGGGAGGCAGCAGUGGGGAAUAUUGCACAAUGGGCGCAAGCCUGAUGCAGCCAUGCCGCGUGUAUGAAGAAGGCCUUCGGGUUGUAAAGUACUUUCAGCGGGGAGGAAGGCGGUGAAGUUAAUAACUUCACCGAUUGACGUUACCCGCAGAAGAAGCACCGGCUAACUCCGUGCCAGCCGCCGCUGUAA
rnacentral:rRNA from 1 species